CCCUGACAGCUAACUUUCUGUAGCUGACAUUAGCCACGACAGGAGAUUCAAAUG
rnacentral:sRNA from 12 species